rnacentral:rRNA from 1 species
CUGACCUCGAAUCAGGGAGGAAUACCCGCUGAACUU